CCCGCCCCCGCGGCGACGUCUCACCUCCCACGGUGGACUUGUAGUGUUUGCUGAAGCUGUCCUGCGAGUACCGCUGCACGAGCGACGUCUUGCCCACCGCGGCGUCCCCCACCACCAGCACUUUGAACAGAGAGAGAGCGCAGAGGGAGAUUGGGAGGCAGAAGACGACUCCUUGCUGAGCAGGGAGCCUGAAGCAGCACUUGAUUCCAGGACUCUGAGAUGAUAACCUGAGCCAAAGGCAGACGUUUAACCAACUGAGUUCCUCAGUGUUCGUUUCUGGAAGGCCAUGUUUUGGCCAGAGCCCUACACAGAGGAUGUGUUCCAUCACUAAUUGCAGAAGCCUGCUAGUGUUACCUACGGUAUGAGUCGGAAGGCAUCGUUGUCCUAAUCUAUAAAUGGGACAACUGGGGGAUCAGAAGAGGCGAAUUAUGGCCACCAGCUGAAAGAGGUUUCUAACUCCUCAAAACCAAACAAACACUUCGUUUCUGAAUAACUUGUGAGGUAGUCAACAACUUGGGUAAUGUACUUGAAACUCACACAUGUGACAGCCUGUGGCAGAGUCAAGGACAGAAAAACAUGUGGUUGUCCCUGGCCGACCGCAGUUUGGAGCAAUGUUCUCUAUCUACUCGUUCAACAUUCCUUUGCUUCCUUUGAACUCCCUUUGAUGGGAGUUAAGAGAAAAAUAAUUUCUAUAAUGUCCAAAAUAAGGAAAUUUUUUUUGAGGGGGCAGGUUACUGAGUGUGACAUCACAUUUAAACUUAUUUGGAAUUAUUUUAAGUUUUUAAAAAAAGGUGACCAAUAGCUUGGCAGUAUUAGUCACCAUACUUAACUAAACAUGAACGUUGCCAUAAAGUCUUUCAAAUUAUGGUUAAGAAAAACCUUUUCUGGCUGGCCAAACUGUUCUCACUUGUCGGCAAUUUCUCUUUUCUUUCAAUUUGUUUGUUUGCUUGUUUUUAAUUUCCUGAAGCCAGUCAUUUUCUUGGGAGACACAUGAAAAGAUGUUUGUAUCUAGAUAAUGUAAUAAAAUGCAGUAUAAUGUG